ACCCAAAGGCUUUUUGAGACUCAUGGAAAGACAAAGAUACAAGAACCAGAAGGUGAGCAGCAAAAGCAAAAAGGGAGAUCUGAAAAGAAGCCAAAGCAAAGCUAGAAAUAAAUGACUCAAGGAAAGGCAUAAACAAGAUGGAGAUGCCACAGGACAUUGAAUAUGAUUAAUGUAUUAUGGCAAGAAAAAUGACAGAUCCAACAUUUUCGGUGGAGGGAAAAAAGGAAGCAUUAGGAAGAGGCAUUACGAAAAAGAAAAACAACUGAGCAGAGAUUACAAAUAAAUUACUUCAUUUUCGUGCUGUGAAAAUAAACUAAUUCCUUGGAGAUCUGCUAAAAGGAACGAAAUGUGCCAGACCUCACCAUUCUGGAAAGCAAAACAAAAUUUUUUAAAAACACAACAUUUUAGGGUGAAGAAGGGUAUCUUUUCCUGAAGUAAUUAUCCCAGAAUCCUCUCCCUUGAAUAACCUUUUAAGGCUGAACUAUUCUGACCACAAACAACAUACCUGAAAAAGAAUGCAUAGUAUAGGGCUUUGAUGGAUGGAAAAGGCUGAGGAAUAUUCCCUGAAGGAGCAAAGAAAAGCAGCACAACAGAAGAAGAUCUGACAGUGUGAGGAAGUGAAGAUACUGGCCUAAGUAGCAAAGUUCAGAAAAGGGGCAAAUAGAAACAGCUAUUCCUGAUGCCACAAUCAUUGAUUUCUUUAUUUAUUUUUCAUGAACACCAAGGAUACAAACAUAUACACAGCUGGCUCUCUCCUUCAAAAUCUGAAGUACUCCUAACAUAUGUGGACUUUACCAUUUUACUACUUGAUUCACACUUGUUUCAUGGAAAGGAAAACUUGUCAUACACAUGAAGGCCUGAGAAAUGCUGACUUGGACUUUUCAAACAUGUUUUUCUUCUUUCAUUCCCCCGCUGAUAAUAAAUAUCUGGAACAAUGAGUAUCAUCUUUCCUGCACUGAUGGAAAACUUCUCAUAUAGUCCAUGCGCAGACAAGGAGCUUUUAAUGUGUUCCACCAAUAGGACAAGCUGACACAAAAGAUAUUUUUCCCCUUUUGCUUGAUGAGAGGUGAAGUUAAACAAACGUUAAAAACAAAACAACCAGAAACAAACAAAACCUCCCAUUUAAAACCCUGAGGCAAGGUGUCACCUGUUUUCUCCUCAGAACUAGGCUGUACCACCUAGUAGAAUCGAUUCCAAAAGUGGGGCUACGGAGAACUCUGCUGGGACAAACUUGCGACUGUAAGGAGGUGACUAAAGUGUUCUCCAACUUCAUAGGCCUGCGGACAGUCUGCUGCAAGUAACAAUCACUUUCCUUCAUAAGAAGUAGCAGAUCCCUAUGCAUCCUAACGCUGAGUCCUCAGCUCAGCCAAAUGACUGUCUCCAAAGGUUUCUAUACUCACCUUGUUGAAGUCAACACAUUUUCAGAGCAAAGCUCUGCAGUGCAGCUGCUCACACCAGUGUUCCUUCAUGAUAAGUGUUCUAUCUGGGGUAUACAGCCUGAUACUCCGAAUCAGUCAGGACCUGCCUAUGGCUGUUCUCUACACACAGAGCGAAGAAAUUGCAAGGUUCAUAACAAAUGGUUUUCCACCCAUCCUGUUUCUUUUUUUCUGUAACAGGGUAAACAAGCAAAGUUCAGAUCCUUCCUACCUUCUGCAUACUGAUUCCCAUACUCCCUUCAAAUGCUGCUGUCCGCCUGUAUCUCUGCUUCUCUUCAGAGAGAGUAAUAUACUCUUACUAGUUCACCCUUAUUCAUACAAUAUAAAUUAUUUCAUAUCUUAUUUCAUUCAAAUUGUAUUGAAUGCUCGUGUCAUUACUGUAUCAUUAAAAUCCUUAAACU
ensembl:lncRNA